AGUCAGUUAGCUCAGCGGUAGAGCAUUACCUUGACAGGGUAGGGGUCAUCGGUUCAAAUCCGAUACUGACUACCA
rnacentral:tRNA from 1 species